UACGUAGGGAGCAAGCGUUGUCCGGAAUCAUUGGGCGUAAAGCGCACGUAGGCGGCUUCAAAAGUCGGAUGUGAAAUCCCGUGGCUCAACCAUGGACGUGCAUUCGAAACUGCGAAGCUUGAGUAUGGAAGGGGGUCGCGGAAUUCCCGGUGUAGAGGUGAAAUUCGUAGAUAUCGGGAGGAACACCAGUGGCGAAGGCGGCGACCUGGGCCAAUACUGACGCUGAGGUGCGAAAGCGUGGGGAGCAAACAGG
rnacentral:rRNA from 1 species